rnacentral:rRNA from 1 species
UUGUAAUUUGAAGAUGGUGUUCUGGCGCCGGCCCCCUGUCUACGUUCCUUGGAACAGGACAUCACAGAGGGUGAGAAUCCCGUCUGGCGGGGCGGCCUGGCUCCGUGUAGAGCGCCAUCGACGAGUCGAGUUGUUUGGGAAUGCAGCUCUAAGUGGGUGGUAAAUUCCAUCUAAAGCUAAAUAUUGGCGAGAGACCGAUAGCGAACAAGUACAGUGAUGGAAAGAUGAAAAGAACUUUGAAAAGAGAGUGAAAAAGUACGUGAAAUUGUUGAAAGGGAAGGGUAUUGGAUCAGACUUGGUGCUGUGCGAAUAGCGGCCCUUCUUGGGCUGCCCACUCGCACUCCACCGGGCCAGCAUCGGUUUGGGCGGCAAGACAAUGGCGGGGGAACGUGGCACUGCUCUCGGGCAGUGUGUUUAUAGCCCUCGCUGAUGUUGCCUGCCUAGACCGAGGACUGCGGCUUCUGCCUAGGAUGCUGGCGUAAUGAUCCAACACCGCCCGUCUUGA